CCCGUGUGUACCUUUCUAAUGGCGAACGCCUGCGCUGGGGCUCACCGGCAGGCUGGGUAGGGGCAGGCGGCGAACCGCGCGAUGGCAGCCGAUAAUUACAGGCCAGCUCUUCAACUAGCAUGAAGACAACAUUAUGCUACUGUUCUCACCACAUCAUGUAAACCAUAUCCCUUGGCUUUAAAGACUCCUACUGACUUAAAUCACAGCUGAAGAUGUAGCCCACAAUUUAAAAUUCACUGAAAAACAUUUAAGCCUUCAAACUUAAUAUUUGCUUGUGUUCAUGCUAUAAAGCUCAAUGACUAUAAUAGUCAUGGAAAAUUAACGCUGAAGGGGCACAGACUAAUUUAGAAUGAAUUUGUUUUAAACAUGGAUGAAGACAAUUCAUUUGCCUGAUUGCCUAGAGAAAUGAAGUUUUGGAUGAUGAAAUUGAGGCCAGCUGUUGAGAGAACAGGAAGCUCAGAAAGACCUGGAAGAAUGAGGGUGAAGACAGAAGUCAGCAAUGAGGGGAAAACUCUCCAAUUUUUAUAGGGAAAAAGUCAAGAAAGCAGACAAUCUGGAGGUGAACUAAAACACUAAUUCAUAUGAAGAACUGUAAAUUAAGUUAUUAGAAAUUUUCAGCAUAUAAAGGGUGAAAAAAUUAUUUUAAAAAUCUAA